rnacentral:lncRNA from 1 species
CUGCCACCACACCUGGCUAAUUUUUGUAUUUUUUUAAUAGAGAUGGGGUGUUUCAUAAUUUUGGCCUGACUGGUCUUGAACUCCUGACCUCAGGUGAUCUGCCUGCCUUGGCCUCUCAAAGUGCUGGGAUUACAGGCAUGAACCACAGCACCCGGCCAGCCUGCUUAAAACAAUAACAACAACAACAACAACAACAACAAAACAUUAUUUUGCAUCAAAGCUAACAGCCUGUUUUUGUUUGUUUUUUUUUUUCCCAGACAGGGUGUUGCUCUGUUACCCAGGCUGCAGUGCAAUGGCACACUCACAGGUCGCUGCAGCCUCGACCUCCCAGGCUCAGGAGAUCCUCCCACCUCAGCCUCCUGAGUAGCUAGGACUAUAAAUGUGUGCCACCACACCUGGCUACUUUUUUUUUUUUUUUUUGAGACAGAGUAUCGCUCUUGUUGCCCAGGCUGGAGUGCAAUGGUGCGAUCUCGGCUCACCGCAACCUCCACCUCCCGGGUUCAGGCGAUUCUCCUGCCUCAGCCUCCCAAGUAGCUGGGAUUACAGGCAUGCGCCACCACGUCCAACUAAUUUUAUAUUUUUAGUAGAGACAGGGUUUCUCUAUGUUGGUCAGGCUGGACUCGAACUCCCGACCUCAGGUGAUCUGCCCACCUCGGCCUCCCAAAGUGCUGGAAUUACAGGUAUGAGCCACCACACCCAGCCCCACCUGGCUACUAUUUUUAAUUUUUUAAUUUUAAUUUUUUUUUUUGAGAUGGAGUCUUGCUUUGUCACUCCGGCUAGAGUGCAGUGGUGCAAUCUCAGCUCAGUGCAACCUCCGCCUCCUGGAUUCAAGUGAUCCUCCUGCCUCAGCCUCCCAAGUAGCUGGGAUUACAGGCAUGUGCCACCAUGCCCAGCUAACUUCUGUAUUUUUAGUAGAGACGGGGUAUCACCAUGUUGGCGAGGCUGGUCUUAAACUCCUAACCUGAAGUGAUCCGCCCACCUCAGCCUCCCAAAGUGCUGAGAUUACAGGCGUUAGCCACCGCGCCCAGCCUUAUUUUUUAUAGAGAUGAGGUUUUGCCGUAUUGCCCAGGCUAGUUUCAAAUUCCUGGGCUCAAGCAAUCUGCCUGCCUCGGCCUCUCAGAGUGCUGGGAGUGUCACCACACCUGGCCACAGUCUUUUUUUUUAAAUUUAAGUGUAUAUAGUGAGCAAUUUCUCCAUGUUAAGGAAUAGAUUUCCACAGCAUCAUUUAAAGUCUCACUGUAUGCCAUCUUGUGUUUUAUUUGGCCAACAGUCAUUGUUAGCCUUAUAGGUUGUUCAGAAUUUUGCUAUUUCAAUAAGCACUGUGGUGAACCUCCUUGUAGCAAAUCUUUUGUAGAUUCCUAAUUACUCCAACCAAGUCUUCAGUGGAGGUGCCAUGUUCAUGCUAUGCACUUUCUGGAGACUUCUGUCUGACUCAUUCAGUCCAAUUAUUCUGCCAGAAGGCUGAAUUUAAUUCCAUGUGGGGCUGAAGCACCAUACCUGAGUCCAUAGACAGGAGCGUUUUACUUAGAAAGAAAAAAUAACUGGUCAGUCUUAACUCAAAAGGGUGUAAAUCACAGGUUUGCUCGGUAAUAAAAAAUUCAGACUGCCUCUGUUCUUUCAAUAGCAGUUCUUGUGAGACACUGGUUUUGGUCUCAGGGUUUGCGUCACCUUUCUGAAAUUGAUAAUCACCAAUUUGAAUUCCUGUCCUGGAAGCAGCUGUCUUUUAACCUAGGUUUCCAAACUUUGGGGGUGGUAGGAUUAUGGCCGAAUAAAGUUUUCUGGAUGUGCUGUGGAGGAGGGUGGUACAGGCCAGAUGAUGGAAGCCUAGGGACAAAAACAAGCAACAUGGGAUCUCCCUGGUGUCUGAUUUUUAUUUAUUUAUUUAUUUUUAAAGAGACAGGGUCUCACUCUGUCACCCAGGCUGGAGUGCAGUGGUGUGAUCACUGCUCACUGCAGCCCUAAACUCCUGGGCUCAAGCGAUCCUUCUGCCUCAGCCUCCUGAGUAGCUGGGACUAGAGACACAUGCUACCAUGCCUGGCACUUAAAACUUUUUCUUUUUGGCCAGGCACGGUGGCUCACGCCGGUAAUCCCAGCACAUUGGGAGGCUGAGGCGGGCGGAUCAUGAGGUCAGGAGAUCGAGAC